GUUUCAAUGCCUUUUCAAAGUGAUACGGUGUCGUUUCAUCUCCUCUAGCUACGUAAGCCGACGUCGUUUCGUUUGCUGGUAGAUCAGCCAAUUCACAAUCUCAUGUCCUCUCUGUCUCCUCCGCCGGUUCUUAGAUUCACCACGCCGUCACGUAUCAAACUCAAAUCGUCCUCCUGAUGGAUUCAUUCUCCUCCCGGUAGCUCUUAUACGCAUCAUCUAUAACCCUUGUCGAUGAUUUUCAUGAUCUUCUUGGCCCAAAGAUAGGGAGGCGAAGAGAAGAACCGGUACAUGCACUGAUCACGCCGAGCUCUUCAGGUUGCCUGAGGAUUAUACUGUCUGGCUAGGGGAGAUAAAGCCAUUGCCUCACUUUAAGGUUGUUCUUUGGUUUUGCUUUAGUCUUGUCAGUUUGUUCAGUGCUUUUUAAGCCAUUCUUUUGCUGCAGGAAACAACAUAUAUGGUGGACAUGGUUUUCUAUGUGGAUGAGAUUAUUCAAGUCUUGAGUGAACAGUUUAAGGGAUCUGGAAAGCCCCUGUUGUAUCUUCUGCUUGGUCUUACCACCGACAGCGGAAACUUAUCCGAGGUUUCUGCGUUUUCGUCCUUUCUUCCGCACUUGUUUCAGAAAAUUCUUCUGAUUUAUUGUCAAAGCUAUGCUCUGGUGAUUUGGUCUUGCCUUGAGUUGGUCAAAUUUGAACAAGAGAUUAUUGGGCUCCUUUUGCACCGGAUCAAAGUGGUUUCACGUCUUUGCGCAAAUAUUCUCGAAACAACGCACGCAGACUGUUCAAGAUACUGGAACUUAGUUGUGUGAAAGCAUCAUCUCACACCUCGACAGAGAUUCUCAGAGCAGAAGCAGUUUAUGAAAUGAAUUUUGAUAAGUAAGCUCUAUAGCAACCUUGGAGAAAACUGAUUCUAUAGAAACACCUGAAACACAUUCACCAUUUCAGCAAGUGAAGCAUACAAAUUUUGAAACAGUUCAUGUAGCAUCAGGGACGUGUGCCAAUGCAUCACUGGUAUCACACUCUGGUUUUGUUGUUGAUGUGUUACCUUAUGACUGUGGCAGAGGUGAUUUGGUCUUUCAUAAACAGGAGGAAUCAUGCAUUUUACAGGUCCAAAUAAAGGAUGAAUGUAUAAGUAUAACCUCCUACUUACAAGGGUCAAGGGGGGGUUCGAUAGACGACAUAUCCUUGUUCUGAGUCUUGGCUGCCUCUGGAGAUCAAGAAGGUCGUUGUGCAGACUUCUGAAGAUGUGAAUUCAGAGGAAAAGCUCAAGGCCUCGAAUGCAAUCUUCUACUUCUCUUCAGGAACUUGAAUGCUCCUCCCCAUGGUCUGUGCCAGGAUCACAGAGUCAUCAUUAAGAAGAAGCACUGAUGGGCUUCCAGGACACGCUUGUCUUGCAACAUCGGCUGAAACUCUGUAAGGGCUACAUUGGCUCACAACAUCUGCUGCGGUCGAGGUCCAGGUCCUAGAAGCCCACGAUUCGGCUGUGGAGAUUGUAUGUACUGUCCCCACGGUUGCAUUUGGUUCUGCCAUUGCGGAAAUGGUCCUGUCCAAAACUGAUUUGCACGCAUAUUGCUGUAGUCUUGGUGUUGAUUGUUUCGACCUCUGAAACGAUUGCCACCGUAACGCUUGUUGCCGCGAGGGUUGUUGGAUCUCUGGUUGUUUUAAGUGUGAUUGUGUUGAGAGUCGGUGCGAGCAAAGUAAGAUGAUGAAUGCUCCUAGUGAUGAGCGACUUGCUUUGUUGUCCUCUUCAGACGAGUUUCAUCCAUUUCGGGAAGGGAUCCCUAUGUUGAAUGACAUUAAUGAUGUUGUCGAAGCGCUCGUUCAAACCGUUACCUGACGAGAGUGCGAUCGGCUAUGGAAGCAUCAACAUUAGCAAGACAAUCUGAGACAGAGAUUUGAGUUUCUGCCUGUAGGUCUCAAUGAUCAUGUCACCAAUCUCCCUUGUACGCUGUUCAUUGUCGAGUUGAAUGGCCCAAGCGUCAUAGUUAUGGUCAUCUAGGUCGAGGAUCAACAGGAUGUGUGACUUGAUGUUUGUCACACUGAAGGCUCUGUCGACUUGAGUGGGAUUAGCAGCCAUGAUCGACAAGAAAAGAAAACAGAAUAAAGAGAUUGAGAUCAAAGAAAGAAGCCAAAUAAGAAGAGUUGAAACUCUGAUUCCAUAAAAGAUGGUGAAUUUCCUUGUUUAGUUUGAUUGUAUUACGUGACUAAAUAGUCAAACGAGGUUACAGAGGUUAUGCUAUUCUAGGGAUUUACAAAGGUCUGAGCAACAUAAUAUCCAAAACUCUACAAUAUUGGUUUUCAUAAAUUUUUUUACUAUA